rnacentral:rRNA from 1 species
CCGAAUGUACUAGAUGUUGGGGAUUCAUUUCCUUAGUAACGUAGCUAACGCGUGAAGUUGACCGCCUGGGGAGUACGGUCGCAAGAUUAAAACUCAAAGGAAUUGACGGGGACCCGCACAAGCGGUGGAUGAUGUGGAUUAAUUCGAUGCAACGCGAAAAAGCUUACCUACCCUUGACAUGGUCGGAAUCCAGCUGAGAGGUGUGAUGGUUGAAAAAAAACCGGCCACAGGGGGGGAUUGGUGGGGUGCAAGGUUGUCGCCAACUAGGAAAUGCCCGGUCGCUGAAAUAUUUACACAACACACUGGAUGUUGUUACUAACGUAUAUCACAUUCUUUUCGCCCUUGC